rnacentral:tRNA from 1 species
GGGAGUGUAGCUCAGAGGACAGAGCGGUCUGGCGACGAUUAACAGACAGGACAUUGGUUCGAAUCCAAUCACUUCCA